rnacentral:rRNA from 1 species
UACGGGGGGGGGCAAGCGUUGUUCGGAAUUACUGGGCGUAAAGGGCUCGUAGGCGGCCAACUAAGUCAGACGUGAAAUCCCUCGGCUUAACCGGGGAACUGCAUCUGAUACUGGAUGGCUUGAGUUCGGGAGAGGGAUGCGGGAUUCCAGGUGUAGCGGUGAAAUGCGUAGAUAUCUGGAGGAACACCGGUGGCGAAGGCGGCAUCCUGGACCGACACUGACGCUGAGGAGCGAAAGCCAGGGGAGCAAACGGG